AGCCCAAGAAAAUGUAAUAACAGAAUGGUCUCACUCUCACCGAGGCUGAAGCGCAGUGGCACAAUCACAGGUUUUUUUCUCAUCCAAGAAUCUAAGAAGAGUCCAUAAAGAAGGCUGACAACAAAUGAAUGGAGAAAACACAAGCCCCAAAGCCUGCAGCACAGCCAGGGACCCUCUGUGAGCUGAGUCUGUGAGUUAGGGACCAGCUCUCUUCUCCAUGAAGCCUGCCCUGAUUCUCCCCAGAGGGAAGGCUGGCCCCCUUUUCCAAACUCCCACUACAUUUUGUCCAAACGAUGUUGGAAGCCACUGGGACUCCCCAAGAACAAUAUCCAAGUUGAAGACACCUUUUGCCACCCCCGCCAGUGGACAUGGAAGGAGUGCCGCACACACCCGCCCUGAAUGCAGAAGCAGCAGAGUUCACCCCAAGGAUUUCACCAAGCACUAGUGUUCCUUGUUUUGCUUGUUUUUGAUGCCUAAAGAGCCAACAAGUGACUAACAGACUGUUGUUCAUGGAUUGUCUAAAGUCAGCCUUCUAAUAGCACCCGAAGGGCUCCUCAUGCUGGUGCAACCCCGCUGCCACUGCUCCUGAGCCUAUGUUCCCUUCUCUCCACCAUGCACCUUCUGACAUCAUGACUCACUGGAGAACCAGGCCAGGAUCCCAACCACCCCGUGUCUCAGUGGGCCUGGGCGGGAGCCCUGUGCUGCCAGGAGGAGCAGAGAUAACAUUGAUUGUCCAGAAGCUCUACGAUGGAGACAGGUUGUCAUUGGAAGUCCAACAAGAGACAGAGGCAAGUGAGCUUUAUGGAGCACCUACUGUGUGCCAGGCCCCAUGCAACGGGCUUCUGUGGAGGCCUGCCCCUGCCAUCUUCACAACCCUCAGGUGAGCCAGCUUUAGCUUUACAUUUUAUAGAUGAAAAAAGCUGAGAGUUGAUGAGACUAAGAUACUAUUUGUGAGACCAAAAGAAA
rnacentral:lncRNA from 10 species